rnacentral:lncRNA from 1 species
UCACAUAUUUAAUCUCAUCGACGGUAUUGAAAUGAAAGAAGAGAACUUAAAUGACAAAUAAGGGGCUAACCAAGGUUUUUUAAUCAAUAAAAGAACAAAAUAAGACUCUAAAAGGUUCCAAGUACAAAACAAUUACAAAAAAUGUCCCAGUUUCAACAACAAAAAGUAUAGCCGAGCCGCUGAAAUCCAAGUGGCUUCUACACUGCUGCAGCUUGCAGCAACCACCGCUCAAGAUUAUGAUUCUCCGGCAUAGGGUAUUCAACUGAAAAUGUCAAACGGGUGACUAUUAUACACAUUUUCAUGCAUAAUCGUUCAACAACACAUCUCAAGCAAUGAAAGUACAAGGUUCUGAUUAAGAUAAGUAAUAUUUAAAUUUAUUUAAAGGUUGUUUAAUAGAAGUAGACACAAUUAUCCCAAACUCAAGAACUAAAACAAGAUCAAGUAAUUGCUAAACUUGACAUACCAUUUGUCUCGCUGUACAUCUCUGACAAUUAAGCCAUCCUCAACAAAUCAAAACAAGGUUUACUAGCGACAAAAAACAAUUUAACUCGCGUUGUUACUUUCAUCUGUUUCCAUCAAUACUAAUUCUUUUUCAACGUCCUUCUGUUCAAGCUUUUCAGCUUCUUCAUCUCCAGAUUUCUGAGAAUCGGUUUUCGGGAUUUCAACCACAGGCUCAACAGAAGCAUCUGAAUUUCCUUUAGGAGUAGAUGGAGUUUCACCAUUUUUACCAUGGUUACUAGAUUUUAACCAUGAAAACUUGGGACGAUUGUCGAGUUUGAACCGAUUGGUAGCAAUUGAAGGACCAACAUGUGGCAAUGGGCGUAGUGAUGGUUUCAACGCUGGUGCUUCUUGUACUACAACCACAGCCGUCGAUUUGGAUCUUUGUGGCACAGCAGAUUCCAUAGAUUUUUUACCAUUACCUAUCACUUCAGCUCCCGGUGAAGAUAAAAUGGUUUCAGCUUUUACAGAAUCAGCUACAAUUCCUAGUUUCUGUUUUUUCGCCACCUGUUCAGGUGGAGGUGGUUUUGGAGUGUUGGCAACCACGGGCUUUGGGUGAUCAGAAGCAGGGGCAAUUAUGUCAUUAUGUGAAGAUGAAACUGGCGUGCCACGUGGUGGCACAGGUGGUAUGUUAUAGCCACUGAUUGUUCCGUUAACUGGAAUGUUAUCACGAUUAGCCCAAAAUAGUUUAAUAAAGCGAUUACCCAUCACAGCAUCAGGUGCCGUUAAAGCAGCUUCUGCUUCUUCUCUUUUGGAAAACUGAACAAAAGCUCGUUCACUAUUUAAAGGAAUACGGAUAUCAAUCACUUCACCAAACUUAUGAAAAUGUGAAAUUAGGGUUUCCCUUCGGUUCUGUUGGAGUGGAACACCGUUCACAAAUAACGUACAUUGUGCCUUUUGAGAUGGCUUACGCACAAUUUUUUCAUUCCCACUUUGCAUUUUCAGAGAUGAAUUUGCAUUGUUUUGUUUAUUAUUUAGUGCCCCCUGUUUUUCAAUUAAAGAACUUGCUUUAGA